GCAUUGGUAGUUCAGUGGUAGAAUUCUCACCUUCCAUGUGGGAGACCUGAGUUCAGUUCCUGGCCAAUGCA
rnacentral:tRNA from 1 species